AGUCUUUAUUCACAAGUUCAAACUCGGGCUUAAGUCAUGCUGACACACAGGAUGGUUUCGGUGGAUAAAAGCCCCAAACACUCCUCAGGACAAGAUUUUAUAGGAAAUAUCAAGAGAAGGGUUGUGUCAAAACAUUCUUACCAAAGGAAGCAGUAUACAUGAGAGGAAAAUUUUCUUUAGCUGAAAAUUCUAGAUUAUAGUACAUGUCAGUAAGAAAGGCAAAAUAGCAUGGAAGUUAAAGUAUUGCUCCACAACCUUAGAGCAGAGAAAAUAGAUGGAUGCAUUCUUCAAGUAUUGAACUGACUUUCCUUCUCAAUCAAUCCCAGUUUGUUCAGUCCAAGAGUGCUCCCUAUAUUCAAG
rnacentral:lncRNA from 1 species